GAUGAACGCUGGCGGCGUGCCUAAUACAUGCAAGUAGAACGCUGAAGCUUGGUGCUUGCGCCGAGCGGAUGAGUUGCGAACGGGUGAGUAACGCGUAGGUAACCUGCCUCUUAGCGGGGGAUAACUAUUGGAAACGAUAGCUAAUACCGCAUAAAAGUCGAUAUCGCAUGAUAUUGAUUUGAAAGGUGCAAUUGCAUCACUAAGAGAUGGACCUGCGUUGUAUUAGCUAGUUGGUGAGGUAACGGCUCACCAAGGCGACGAUACAUAGCCGACCUGAGAGGGUGAUCGGCCACACUGGGACUGAGACACGGCCCAGACUCCUACGGGAGGCAGCAGUAGGGAAUCUUCGGCAAUGGGGGCAACCCUGACCGAGCAACGCCGCGUGAGUGAAGAAGGUUUUCGGAUCGUAAAGCUCUGUUGUAAGAGAAGAACGAGUGUGAGAGUGGAAAGUUCACACUGUGACGGUAACUUACCAGAAAGGGACGGCUAACUACGUGC
rnacentral:rRNA from 1 species